CGGCCGCCUUUCCCGUUGGGCACCCAGCUGUGGCUGUGCCCUGUCCUCGCCCAGCUCCCGGCAUAGGCAUGCGCUCUGGGCCGGGGCCGGGGCCCCCCGCCUCCCCGGGAGGAAUCGCUGGGUUGACUCUGGGUCAGCAAAGGGAGCCCGGCCCUUUCUAGCGGGGGGACGUCCUGCAGCCGCUGGAGGAGGCUGAGUCACGCUUUUCCCACCAGAAGUCUACCUGUGCCUGCGCCCGCCGGACCUGCCGGCCUCUUCCUUCUCAUCCAGGGGGCCUCUUCUCCAGCCUCACGGAGGUGGGAAGCUUGCUGGAGGCCCCUACCUGCCUUUUGGGGAAGACCCCGAGGCUGGCCCACGCCCUGCUGGCAGGACCCUUCCUGACUGGGUCCACCGUUCUUCUGGGUCUCACCACUUCUCCCAGCCCCUGGGCUGCUUCCUCUCUCCCGUGUCUGGGACCCCAGAGGCACCACUUCCAUUCCAUACAAGCUUGCAGAGUCAAGACGAACUCUAACUCAUGGGAUGGACAAACUGGAAGAUGUAAAAUAAGUAAGGCUUUCUGGGCCAAAAAGCCUCUUCUUACAGAAAAUCAAAUUUUAAAAGAACAUUGACCUCAAAACAAUAAAACUGUCCUGGUUAUGCAAUAGAAAUAGCUAUAUAAAUGGAAUCAUAUCCUUAAUGAACACCUCCUGUGGCUACCCAACUUUUCACACAUCUUACUGAUUAUAGGCCUUGCUGUGAAUGCUUUCUUGCUCUAUCUGAAGUAUUCCCACCAGAGUUGUUUCCAACUUUAUUUCCUAUAUUAUGAAAAAUGAAGUUUUUUUAACAUUGUAACAAAGUAUAUGAAAGAUAAUGUAUACUGUAUUAAAUAAACCAUUAUACAAAAAUA
rnacentral:lncRNA from 1 species